UACGUAGGGACCAAGCGUUGUUCGGAUUUACUGGGCGUAAAGAGCUUGUAGGCGGUCUGUCGCGUCUGCUGUGAAAAUCCGGGGCUCAACCCCGGACUUGCAGUGGGUACGGGCAGACUAGAGUGUGGUAGGGGAGACUGGAAUUCCUGGUGUAGCGGUGAAAUGCGCAGAUAUCAGGAGGAACACCGAUGGCGAAGGCAGGUCUCUGGGCCACUACUGACGCUGAGAAGCGAAAGCAUGGGGAGCGAACAGG
rnacentral:rRNA from 1 species